rnacentral:rRNA from 1 species
AUUGAACGCUGGCGGUAUGCCUUACACAUGCAAGUCGAACGGCAGCACAGUAAUAGCUUGCUCUUACGGGUGGCGAGUGGCGGACGGGUGAUGAAUACAUCGGAAUCUACUUUUGCGUGGGGGAUAACGUAGGGAAACUUACGCUAAUACCGCAUACGACCUACGGGUGAAAUCAUGGGAUCUUCGGACCUUGCGCGAUUGAAUGAGCCGAUGUCGGAUUAGCUAGUUGGCGGGGUAAAGGCCCACCAAGGCGACGAUCCGUAGCUGGUCUGAGAGGAUGAUCAGCCACACUGGAACUGAGACAAGGUCCAGAAUCCUACGGGAGGCAGCAGUGGGGAAUAUUGGACAAUGGGCGGAAGCCUGAUCCAGCCAUACCGCGUGGGUGAAGAAGGCCUUCGGGUUGUAAAGCCCUUUUGUUGGGAAAGAAAAGCAGCAGGUUAAUACCCCGCUGUUCUGACGGUACCCAACGAAUAAGCACCGGCUAACUUCGUG